rnacentral:lncRNA from 1 species
AUGGGGGAGCCCCAAGCAGGGAGCGGGACAAGUGGCGACAGUCUACCUGAGCAGGCAGGUUUGGGAGAAGUUCGGGGAUCAGGGGCGAGCGAGAUUCGAGAGAGCCACCGAGGCAGGUUGGGCGGGCUGGUGGGGGCCGAGGGCGGCGGGGCCCCGCGGGGUAUAAAUAGCCGGCCGGGGUUUGACAGGCGCUGCGGUGGCUGGCGGUGUCGCCCCCCUCCCCCCCGCCGCGUGGGGAGGGGAGGAGCGCUCGGAGCGGGCGGGGUGGGGGAGGCGGACUCGAGUGUCCUGGUGGCGGCGGCAGGAGGCCGAGGGGGAGGAGCCGAGGCGGGGGGUGGAAGGCGGGGUCCGGGAGUGGGGCGAGGGCGGGGGCCACCAUUGCUCCCCGCGCCGGGCUCUGUGUCGCCGCCGUCGCCUCGGCGGUUGGGGGUCUGUGGGGCGGCGCGGGCGGGGGCGCUGCGCGGGGCGGCGCGCCGCUGUUUUGUCUCCUCCUCUCCCAGUGGAGCGGCUCCGGCUGCCGGGGAGGCCCGGCUCCCUCCGGACGCCCGGCCGGCGGCGGCGGCGGCGGCGGCUGCGAGUCCGCGGCCCUGCCGGGGAGGGAGAGCAACGCCGCGGUCUUCCCUGGCGACGCGGAGAGCAGGUAAGAGCGCGGGCAGCCGCGGCUGGUGGGAGGGAGCGCCGAGGGCGCGGCGAGAGAGCCUGGCUGUCCCGAGUGCCGCCGCCUCCCUCCGCGCCCCCGCCCCGCGCCUGUGUUGUUUGCUCCGGGGUUUGCGGAGGGGUUUUCCGGAGGCUGUGGCGGUGACAACGGCCGGGAGCUGGGGCAGGGGGCUGAGCGCCCCGGGCAACGGUCAGGGAGCGGGACUUGCAGAAAGGGAACGGCGCGCUGCGCGCCUGCCCGCGGGGAGCGCGGGGCGCGGGGCCGGGCCGGGGGACGAGGUGAGGGACCCCGGCGGGGGGGAUGGGCUGAGCGCAGCUGGCUCGCCGUGUUUACAUCUCGGCGCGAGUCACCUCUGCCGAGAAGCGGACUGCGCUGACCCGCCUGAUCCCGCGGGGAGGCCAGGGCGGGGGUCCGGCUCCGGAGGAAGCGCGUCCUGGGAGGGUCCGGGAGGGCGGGCGGCCGCGGCCGGCGCCGGGGCAGGGCGGCGGGCUCGGGGCGGGACCUGGGAGGCUCCGGCCGCCCGGGUGGCGUGGAGGGCUGGGGAGCAGUUUCCUUCCCCGUCGGGCCUUCUCGCCGCCUCUUACCUUUCCUUCCCUGCGCUGCGGGCUCGCGCGGCAGGUUGUACUCGGUCGUUCUUUUAUUCUCUCUCUCAACGCCGGCCCCCUGCUGCCAUCUCCCUCUGUUCCCCCGGGGUAGGGCGGAUAGGAAUCUGUUUCUUAAACAAAACAAAAACGGGCUCUGUAACACGCGCGUCCAGUGACCGCCUUCAGGAUCUCUCUUCGCGAAGCUGGCCCUCAGGGACCGUGCUGCUGGAUGUUUUGGGGGCGCGGGAGGAGGACGGUGAGGGCUCUGCUGGGGCUGGGGCUGGCUGCCUGAACAGCUUUGCGAGCGGGGCAGCCGAGCCCCUUCUCUUGCUCCACUUGGGCGUUUUUAUUCCGUGUCAAUAA